AGGACGAACGCUGGCGGCGUGCCUAAAACAUGCAAGUCGAACGGGGUAGCAAUACCUAGUGGCGAACGGCGGAGUAAUACUUAAGCAACGUGCCCUGAAGACUGGGAUAGUCAUUGGAAACGAUGGGUAAUACCGGAUGUGGCGAUUGGGAGGCAUCUCUUGAUCACUAAAUGGUUUUUCGCUUCAGGAGCGGCUUAUGGCCUAUCAGGUAGUUGGUGGGGUAAUGGCCUACCAAGCCGACGACGGGUAGCGGGUCUGAGAGGAUGAUCCGCUCGAGUGGGACUGAGACACGGCCCACACACCUACGGGUGGCAGCAGUUGGGAAUCUUGCACAAUGGGGGAAACCCUGAUGCAGCGACGCCGCGUGGAGGAUGAAGGAUCUAGGUCUGUAAACUCCUUUUUCAGGGUAAAGACUUAGGACGGUACCCUGAGAAUAAGCACCGGCUAACUACGUGCCAGCAGCCGC
rnacentral:rRNA from 1 species